AGGACGAACGCUGGCGGCGUGCUUAACACAUGCAAGUCGAACGGGGAUAUGCGAGCGGAAGGCUUCGGCCGGAAGGUUGCAUAUUCGAGUGGCGGACGGGUGAGUAACGCGUGAACAAUCUGUCCCAGACAGGGGGAUAACACUUGGAAACAGGUGCUAAUACCGCAUAAGACCACGGAGUCGCAUGGCACUGGGGUAAAAGGAGCAAUCCGGUUUGGGGUGAGUUCGCGUCCGAUUAGCCAGUUGGUGAGGUAACGGCCCACCAAAGCGACGAUCGGUAGCCGACCUGAGAGGGUGAUCGGCCACAUUGGAACUGAGAGACGGUCCAAACUCCUACGGGAGGCAGCAGUGGGGAAUAUUGGGCAAUGGGCGAAAGCCCUGACCCAGCAACGCCGCGUGAGUGAAGAAGGCCUUCGGGUUGUAAAGCUCUGUUAUAGGGGACGAAGGAAGUGACGGUACCCUAUAAGGAAGCCCCGGCUAACUACGUGCCAGCAGCUGC
rnacentral:rRNA from 1 species